GCAGGAUUCCUACUCCCAAUCAGGUUGCUUAUGUGCAGAGUGGUGCCUCCGUGAGACGCAGGGGGAUGGUGGCAGCUGCUACACUUGCUGACUUUCUAAGAGAAGCCAAAAGGAAUGCCACUUCCCCGAGGCCUGCCCUGACCUUUGCCACCACAUAAUGAAGUUGGAGCUCAUGUAUUGUACACUGUUCACUUGCCAUUAAUUAUGCAGUGGCAUGUGCAAAUCUCUUGUAGUCUUUUAACUCUUUCAAUAGUUUUAACUCUGUCUCUGCUUGUGAAUUCAGCUAAAUUUUAAUUUCCUUGAGAGAAAUGGUGUUG
rnacentral:lncRNA from 1 species